rnacentral:ncRNA from 1 species
CUAUUAGAGGCAGUUAAUGUCGCUUUCCUCUUGUUAGGGAGGUGGGAAUACUGCUGUUGA